rnacentral:rRNA from 1 species
AAAAGACCUAGCAAUAGGUAUGCUUAGGGAGGAGCUUGCGUCACAUUAGUUAGUUGGUGGGGUAAAGGCCUACCAAGACUAUGAUGUGUAGCCGGGCUGAGAGGUUGAACGGCCACAUUGGGACUGAGACACGGCCCAAACUCCUACGGGAGGCAGCAGUAGGGAAUUUUCGGCAAUGGAGGAAACUCUGACCGAGCAACGCCGCGUGAACGAUGAAGUAUUUCGGUACGUAAAGUUCUUUUAUUAGGGAAGAAUAAAUGAUGGAAAAAUCAUUCUGACGGUACCUAAUGAAUAAGCCCCGGCUAACUAUGUGCCAGCAGCCGCGGUAAUACAUAGGGGGCAAGCGUUAUCCGGAAUUAUUGGGCGUAAAGGGUGCGUAGGCGGUUAAAUAAGUUUAUGGUCUAAGUGCAAUGCUCAACAUUGUGAUGCUAUAAAAACUGUUUAGCUAGAGUAAGAUAGAGGCAAGUGGAAUUCCAUGUGUAGUGGUAAAAUGCGUAAAUAUAUGGAGGAACACCAGUAGCGAAGGCGGCUUGCUGGGUCUUUACUGACGCUGAGGCACGAAAGCGUGGGGAGCAAACAGGAUUAGAUACCCUGGUAGUCCACGCCGUAAACGAUGAGUACUAAACGUUGGGUAAAACCAGUGUUGAAGUUAACACAUUAAGUACUCCGCCUGAGUAGUACGUACGCAAGUAUGAAACUUAAAGGAAUUGACGGGACUCCGCACAAGCGGUGGAUCAUGUUGUUUAAUUCGAAGGUACCCGAAAAACCUCACCAGGUCUUGACAUGCUUCUGCAAAGCUGUAGAAACACAGUGGAGGUUAUCAGUUGCACAGGUGGUGCAUGGUUGUCGUCAGCUCGUGUCGUGAGAUGUUGGGUUAAGUCCCGCAACGAGCGCAACCCUUAUUGUUAGUUACCAGCACGUAAUGGUGGGGACUUUAGCAAGACUGCCAGUGAUAAAUUGGAGGAAGGUGGGGACGACGUCAAAUCAUCAUGCCCCUUAUGACCUGGGCUACAAACGUGAUACAAUGGCUGUUACAAAGGGUAGCUGAAGCGCAAGUUUUUGGCGAAUCUCAAAAAAACAGUCUCAGUUCGGAUUGAAGUCUGCAACUCGACUUCAUGAAGUGGAAUCGCUAGUAAUCGCGAAUCAGCAUUAGGCC